rnacentral:lncRNA from 1 species
CCGACGAACUACCAGCCGAAUCGAGGAGAAAUUCGAGGCGAAACGACCGAUUCCUCUCUUCCUCGGAGCAAGCGAGCGAGCUCGAACAAAAAAGCGAUCUUUUAUUCUCUCUCGGGUUUUCUUUCUGAAGGGCAGAAGGAAGUUUUGCCCCCGGGUCCAAACUCGAAUUCCAAUCGAGUUUUAUUCCCGGGGACACGCCGCUCGUGACACGUGUGGGACCUUGAGGGGACGGUCCUUCUUUGAAAGAGGGCAGUUUGGACGGUACAGAUUUGAUAUGCAUUCUGGGCUGCAUUGAAUCUGGACCGUCG